rnacentral:rRNA from 1 species
UACGUAGGGGGCAAGCGUUGUCCGGAAUCAUUGGGCGUAAAGAGCGUGUAGGCGGCUCGGUAAGUCCGCUCUGAAAGCCCGGGGCUCAACCCCGGGAGGCGGGCGGAUACUGUCGGGCUAGAGUCCGGUAGGGGAGUGUGGAAUUCCCGGUGUAGCGGUGAAAUGCGCAGAGAUCGGAAAGAACACCAACGGCGAAAGCACUCUGCUGGGCCGACACUGACACUGAGAGACGAAAGCUAGGGGAGCGAAUGGG